rnacentral:rRNA from 1 species
AGUGGACGCUGGCGGUAGGCCUAACACAUGCAAGUCGAACGGCAGCACAGUAAGAGCUUGCUCUUACCGGUGGCGAGUGGCGGACGGGUGAGGAAUACAUCGGAAUCUACUUUUUCGUGGGGGUUAACGUAGGGAAACUUACGCUAAUACCGCAUACGACCUACGGGGGAAAGCAGUGGAUCUUCGGACCUUGCGCGAUUGAAUGAGCCGAUGUCGGAUUGGCUAGUGGGCGGGGUAAAGGCCCAGCAAGGCGACGAUCCGUAGCCGGGCUGAGAGGAUGGUAGCCCGCCCUGGAACUUAAACACCGUCCUGGCUCCUACGGGACGCAGCAGUCGGGAAUAUUAGACAGUAGGCGCAAGCCUGAUCCAGCCAUACCGCGUGUGUGAAGGAGGCCUUCGGGUUGUAAAGCCCUUUUGUUGGGAAAGAAAAGCAGCAGGUUAAUACCCCGCUGUUCUGACGGUACCCAAAGAAUAAGCACCGGCUAACUUCGUG